UAAAGUGGAGAAUGCCUUGAU
rnacentral:piRNA from 1 species